GUCGAACGAAGCACUUUAUUUGAUUUCCUUCGGGACUGAUUAUUUUGUGACCGUUUAGCGGACGGGUGAGUAACGCGUGGGUAACCUGCCUUGUACAGGGGGAUAACAGUUGGAAACGGCUGCUAAUACCGCAUAAGCGCACGGCAUCGCAUGAUGCAGUGUGAAAAACUCCGGUGGUAUAAGAUGGACCCGCGUUGGAUUAGCUAGUUGGUGAGGUAACGGCCCACCAAGGCGGCGAUCCAUAGCCGACCUGAGAGGGUGACCGGCCACAUUGGGACUGAGACACGGCCCAAACUCCUACGGGAGGCAGCAGUGGGGAAUAUUGCACAAUGGGCGAAAGCCUGAUGCAGCGACGCCGCGUGAGCGAAGAAGUAUUUCGGUAUGUAAAGCUCUAUCAGCAGGGAAGAUAAUGACGGUACCUGACUAAGAAGCACCGGCUAAGUACGUGCCAGCAGCCGCGGUAAUACGUAUGGUGCAAGCGUUAUCCGGAUUUACUGGGUGUAAAGGGAGCGCAGGCGGUGCGGCAAGUCUGAUGUGAAAGCCCGGGGCUCAACCCCGGUACUGCAUUGGAAACUGUCGUACUAGAGUGUCGGAGGGGUAAGCGGAAUUCCUAGUGUAGCGGUGAAAUGCGUAGAUAUUAGGAGGAACACCAGUGGCGAAGGCGGCUUACUGGACGAUAACUGACGCUGAGGCUCGAAAGCGUGGGGAGCAAACAGGAUUAGAUACCCUGGUAGUCCACGCCGU
rnacentral:rRNA from 1 species